rnacentral:rRNA from 1 species
UACGUAGGUGGCAAGCGUUGUCCGGAAUUACUGGGCGUAAAGGGCGCGUAGGCGGUCGCCUAAGUCGGACGUGAAAUCCCCAAGCUUAACUUGGGAACUGCGUCCGAUACUGGGUGACUUGAGUUCGGGAGAGGAAUGUGGAAUUCCAGGUGUAGCGGUGAAAUGCGUAGAUAUCUGGAGGAACACCGGUGGCGAAGGCGGCAUCCUGGACCGGCAUUGACGCUGAGGCGCGAAAGCCAGGGGAGCAAACGGG